rnacentral:rRNA from 1 species
UCAAACAGGAUUAGAUACCCUGGUAGUCCACACAGUAAACGAUGAAUACUAACUGUUUGCGAUAUUAAUGUAAGCGGUACAGCGAAAGCGUUAAGUAUUCCACCUGGGGAGUACGCCGGCAACGGUGAAACUCAAAGGAAUUGACGGGGGCCCGCACAAGCGGAGGAACAUGUGGUUUAAUUCGAUGAUACGCGAGGAACCUUACCCGGGCUCGAACGGUGUUGGAAUGAUUGUGAAAGCAGUCAGCUAGUAAUAGUCAAUAUCGAGGUGCUGCAUGGUUGUCGUCAGCUCGUGCCGUGAGGUGUCGGCUUAAGUGCCAUAACGAGCGCAACCCUUACCAUUAGUUACUAACAGGUUGAGCUGAGGACUCUAAUGGGACUGCCACCGUAAGGUGAGAGGAAGGUGGGGAUGACGUCAAAUCAGCACGGCCCUUACGUCCGGGGCGACACACGUGUUACAAUGGGUUGGACAAAAGGUCGCUACUCUGCAAAGAGAUGCUAAUCUUCAAACCAGCUCCCAGUUCGGAUUGGAGUCUGCAACUCGACUCCAUGAAGCUGGAUUCGCUAGUAAUCGCGCAUCAGCCAUGGCGCGGUGAAUACGUUCCCGGGCCUUGUACACACCGCCCGUCAAGCCAUGAAAGCCGGGGGUACCUGAAGUACGUAACCGUAAAGGAGCGUCCUAGGGUAAAACCGGUAAUUGGGGCUAAGUCGUAACAAGGUAGCCGUAA